UGCAGUCGAGCGAACUGACGAGGAGCUUGCUCCUUUGACGUUAGCGGCGGACGGGUGAGUAACGCGUGGGUAACCUACCUAUAAAACUGGAAUAACUCCGGGAAACCGGGGCUAAUGCCGGAUAACAUAUCGAACCGCAUGGUUCGAUAUUGAAAGACGGUCUUGCUGUCACUUAUAGAUGGACCCGCGCCGUAUUAGCUAGUUGGUGAGGUAACGGCUCACCAAGGCAACGAUACCUAACCGACCUGAGAGGGUGAUCGGCCACACUGGAACUGAGACACGGUCCAGACUCCUACGGGAGGCAACAGUGGGAAUCUUCCGCAAUGGGCGAAAGCCUGACGGAGCAACGCCGCGUGAGUGAUGAAGGUCUUCGGAUCGUAAAGCUCUGUUGUUAGGGAAGAACAAAUGUGUAAGUAACUGUGCACAUCUUGACGGAACCUAACCAGAAAGCCACGGCUAACUACGUGCCAGCAGCCGCGGUAAUACGUAGGUGGCAAGCGUUAUCCGGAAUUAUUGGGCGUAAAGCGCGCGUAGGCGGUUUUUUAAGUCUGAUGUGAAAGCCCACGGCUCAACCGUGGAGGGUCAUUGGAAACUGGAAAACUUGAGUGCAGAAGAGGAAAGUGGAAUUCCAUGUGUAGCGGUGAAAUGCGCAAAGAUAUGGAGGAACACCAGUGGCGAAGGCGGCUUUCUGGUCUGUACCUGACGCUGAUGUGCGAAAGCGUGCGGAUCAAACAGGAUUAGAUACCCUGGUAGUCCACGCCGUAAACGAUGAGUGCUAGCUGUUAAGGGGUUUCCGCCCCAUAUUGCUGCAGCUAACGCAUUAAUGACUCCGCCUGGGGAAUACGGUCGCAAGACUGAAACUCAAAGGAAUUGACGGGGACCCGCACAAUCGGGGGAUCAUGUGGUUUAAUUCGAAGAACCUCAAUGACCUU
rnacentral:rRNA from 1 species